UACGUAGGGUGCAAGCGUUAAUCGGAAUUACUGGGCGUAAAGCGUGCGCAGGCGGUUUUGUAAGUCUGUCGUGAAAUCCCCGGGCUCAACCUGGGAAUUGCGAUGGAGACUGCAAGGCUAGAAUCUGGCAGAGGGGGGUAGAAUUCCACGUGUGAGCAGUCGAAAUGCGUAGAGAUGUGGAGGAACACCGAUGGCGAAGGCAGCCCCCUGGG
rnacentral:rRNA from 1 species